rnacentral:tRNA from 1 species
AGGUAGAGAGGCCGAGKGUACAKGUGGCAGGCUGUAGUCCUGUUAACAUAGGUUUGAGUCCUGUCUCUAU